GGCAUUGUGGCAGAGUGGUCUAAUGCGAUUGACUCGAAAUCAAUUCUCUUCGGAGGCGCAUGUUCGAAUCAUGCCAAUGUCG